GGAUGUAAAGGCAAUCUGGCUGUGACAUUUGUCACCCCAUUGAUCGCCAGGGUUGACCUGGCUGAUCUGGCUGGCUAGGCGGGUGUCCUCUUCCUCCCUCUACGCUCCAAACAUGUCCCUCCUGAAACUGUGCGCUCGGGUGAAGAGGACAACCUUCCUGGACAGAGGAAGAUCAUUCUUCAGUCAGGGGUAUCUGAGUAGCAGCAUUCCCUUGCUAGAACCUCCAAAAAAACUCUCAAGGUCUGUACGGUAGUUAAGCUUCCAAGGCUCCAGACACAUCCAAAUGAGGCACUGCAGGGGGCAGUAUGCCUUUUU
ensembl:misc_RNA 7SK 7SK RNA